rnacentral:lncRNA from 1 species
UUUUUUUUGGUUUUUCCAGACAGGGUUUCUCUGUAUAUAUAGCCCAGGCUGUCCUGGAACUCAGAAAUCCGCCUGCCUCUGCCUCCCAAGUGUUGGGAUUAAAGGCGUGUGCCACUAUCACCCAACAAGUAUCCAUUUUUUUAAAUUAUUAUUUGACUGUCCAGUUAAUAUUCCAGAAUAUUCUCCAGAAACCUGAGGUCUGCUCCAGAUCCUGUGUAGAACCCAGCCCAAUUCUAAGAACUCGGAUAGUAACCAUCAUCUUAAAGCAAAGUAGUGGAUCAGGGAUGCUAGGUAGAGACCACCAGGAAGAGAAGGGGGUGGGGUUUUCCAGUCAGGGCCAUUUAGAAUCCACCUAUGCUUUCAGUCAGCAGGGCUUUGUUUUGUUUUUCUCCUGCCUCAUCUCUCAGCCUCAGGAGAGGUAUUAACAGUAUUAUCUCCAUUUAUAUCCUCCCAGCUGUCCUGAGCCAAAUCUGCCAUUGGAAGUGUCUUCCCUGUAUUGGUUCUCCUUUCUCGGAGAGAUGGGGGUUGGGGGUGCGGCAAGGUCUUGGUCUUGGUCUCUGAACACUCCCAAUUCCCGCUGAAACUCCACACUUGGGAAAGUAUGUUUCCACCUGGGUCUUUCAGACACUGCCCAGAUGGGCUGUCACCACCUCUGCCCCAUGCUCCUCCUGCCCUUGGCUUGGUCAUUUCCUACCUUUCUAUUUCGUGUUGUACCUGCUUUUUUUUUUUUUUUCAUAUUGAAAAGUUGACAUCGCCCCAGAGCCAAAAAUAAAUGGGAAUUGG